CCAUACCUCCCUCUCCCUGGUGGUGUCUUCUAGCUUGCCUCCCUACCCCUAUCCAGGCCAGGCAGAAAAGCGAUCAGCACGUUCGCGGCAUCUGUAUUCUUCCAUUUCUCAGCCCAAAGCCAUUUAGCGUAACCCGAGCCCAGGAUAAUUGCCACGUUUCUGCCGCGAUACUUUAAAAAACAAGAUAAUGCUUCUGAAUUGCGGAAGAAAAGUGCUGUGGACAAAUUGGGCGCUGAGCUGCCGAGAAGGAGCCCGCGGAAGAAAACCGCAACGCCAACCAGGCCUUCACGUCGAAGCGCCGCAGCAAAUGGCCUCACCUGGUUUGGCUGCGUCUUGCCGAGGAACAAGGAGGAGGUGGAAGGCCCUCUUUCUUUCAUCGACUGACCUGGGCGCACACUCUGGAAACCAAAGGGUCCCAAGGACAAUUACUGUCAGACAUUCCCCCACUCAAAUCCAGGAAACUUAGUUUACACUACUUCAGGAGAAAUGCCUGUAUCAUCUACAAAGGAUGUGUUGUCUUUCCAUGCGCAUAACAAACCAGUUGAAGCAAAACAAAGGAUCUCAAACUUACGUAUCUUCAGUCUUGAAAGGUCCCUCUGUGUUAAUGGAUGUAAUUAAAGGCCUUCUAGGUUUGCUGAUAGAUACUAGAACCGAUCAUCUCACAUGUCCGCCAUCGGAGAGUCCCAAGCUCCAGUCUCCACGUGAAUUUCCGGACUCUUCCAUAGCCCUUCCGGUAGAAUCCAGGUGGCCCCAUAGUUCUGCCUUUAGCAGGAGAGCUAUUUCCUAGGAGUAACUGGGUGGGCUGCAAUCCGCCUGCCUCUUCACGUUGAGAAACGCUUCUCUUGUGGGAACGUCUGUUUCUAUUCAUCCGAUUUUCUAAUGUCUUUGAUCAGCCUAAAUAUUUUCUUGGCAAACGGAAAUUGACCAUGCCAUGAAUAUGAUAACAACCUGCUUGGAAAGAAGCUAUUUUGUUUCGAAGCAGCAAGGGGGAGUGGGGGGCCGGGAAGCCAGGGAAGGGAGUAGGGGUCGGGUAACUAGCUGGCUGGUAAGAAUGCCUGAAAUAGAUUCCUGAACAUACAUCUUUUUGCAGUCUCUGAAGCAGCUUUUUGAAAGAUAGUCAGAUAAACACACACCUGGGCUCCUAAAAGUCUUUGAUACACUUUAUAUUUAAAAAAACAGAACUUCAAUGGACGCCUCUGGAGAAUUUCCCUUUAAAACAUAGAUGAAAGGCAAGGUUAAUACAAUGUUCUCUUAAUCCCUUUGGCUUGUGAGUCAAAAUAAAUAUUUUCUUCUGCAUGUUAUUGUACAUCCUGCCAUUUGGCUGUGGCUAUAAGCAAAUCGACCGGUAAUAAAAGUGUUUUGAGGCUGUGUAUUAAA
ensembl:lncRNA